rnacentral:rRNA from 1 species
UGGGGAAUUUUGGACAAUGGGCGAAAGCCUGAUCCAGCAAUGCCGCGUGUGUGAAGAAGGCCUUCGGGUUGUAAAGCACUUUUGUCCGGAAAGAAAUCCUUGGCUCUAAUACAGUCGGGGGAUGACGGUACCGGAAGAAUAAGCACCGGCUAACUACGUGCCAGCAGCCGCGGUAAUACGUAGGGUGCAAGCGUUAAUCGGAAUUACUGGGCGUAAAGCGUGCGCAGGCGGUUUGCUAAGACCGAUGUGAAAUCCCCGGGCUCAACCUGGGAACUGCAUUGGUGACUGGCAGGCUAGAGUAUGGCAGAGGGGGGUAGAAUUCCACGUGUAGCAGUGAAAUGCGUAGAGAUGUGGAGGAAUACCGAUGGCGAAGGCAGCCCCCUGGGCCAAUACUGACGCUCAUGCACGAAAGCGUGGGGAGCAAAACAGGAUUAGAUACCCUGGUAGUCCACGCCCUAAACGAUGUCAACUAGUUGUUGGGGAUUCAUUUCCUUAGUAACGUAGCUAACGCGUGAAGUUGACCGCCUGGGGGAGUACGGUCGCAAGAUUAAAACUUAAAUGAAUUGACGGGGUCAUAGCUGUUUCCU